rnacentral:rRNA from 1 species
AUUGAACGCUGGCGGCAGGCCUAACACAUGCAAGUCGAGCGGAUGAAGGGAGCUUGCUCCUGGAUUCAGCGGCGGACGGGUGAGUAAUGCCUAGGAAUCUGCCUGGUAGUGGGGGAUAACGUCCGGAAACGGGCGCUAAUACCGCAUACGUCCUGAGGGAGAAAGAGGGGGAUCUUCGGACCUCACGCUAUCAGAUGAGCCUAGGUCGGAUUAGCUAGUUGGUGGGGUAAAGGCCUUCCAAGGCGACGAUCCGUAACUGGUCUGAGAGGAUGAUCAGUCACACUGGAACUGAGACACGGUCAUGACUCCUACGGGAGGCAGCAGUGGGGAAUAUUGGACAAUGGGCGAAAGCCUGAUCCAGCCAUGCCGCGUGUGUGAAGAAGGUCUUCGGAUUGUAAAGCACUUUAAGUUGGGAGGAAGGGCAGUAAGUUAAUACCUUGCUGUUUUGACGUUACCAACAGAAUAAGCACCGGCUAACUUCGUG